rnacentral:misc_RNA from 1 species
UCCGGCUUGUCACCGGCAGUUUCCUUAGAGUGCCCGGCCGAACCGCUGGCAACUAAGAAUGAGGGUUGCGCUCGUUGCGGGACUUAACCCAACAUCUCACGACACGAGCUGACGACAGCCAUGCAGCACCUGUGUGGGGUCCAGCCGAACUGAAGGGUUCCAUCUCUGGAACCCGCGACCCCCAUGUCAAGGGCUGGUAAGGUUCUGCGCGUUGCGUCGAAUUAAACCACAUGCUCCGCCGCUUGUGCGGGUCCCCGUCAAUUCCUUUGAGUUUUAGCCUUGCGGCCGUACUCCCCAGGCGGAGUGCUUAAUGCGUUAGCUGCGGCACAGAGAGGGUUGAAGACCUCCCCACACCUAGCACUCAACGUUUACGGCUGGGACUAC